UUCGAACAUAUUUUUGAAAAAAAUAAGACCUGUUAAGUGAUUGUAAAUCUAGUUAACUGCGCAAACAUGUUUUUUACACAAACAAAAACAUAGUUGAUGUUUCUAUUUCCUUUUGUAUAAUGAAAGCAGGAUAGAACUUGUAGGUUCCCGCCCCCGUACAAAACAUUUAAAGGUUUAACGUUGGUGUCCAGUACAAAAAUUGUAUAUCGACUACAAAAAACUACCUAAACAACUAAGAAGAAUAACUUAAAAAAUAAAUAUCAGAUAACACGCUCUGUCAAAUGUUUAUAUAGUCCACAUAUUUAGUCUUUACACUAGGCAUUAGACAAUAACAGUAUCCUAUAUUUUAUAAUAUAUUAGUUUGUGAUAUACAAUCUGCUUUGAGUUAAAUAAUGAUGCGCACAAUAAAUAAAUCUUCCGAAAGUUUCACAAAAACCUUUUCUUUUAAUAUAAAAGGUAGACCCUGCUAAAGAAAAGAAGUAGCAUAAUUAAUAGCCACUUUAUUGGUGGAGAGUUUGAAUGGGCACCCGAGAGGACUGCAGGUCAUUGACCUUUUUGCCCCUUAUUAUGAGUAAAUAUCAUUGGUGAAAAUACCUAUAAAAUCAAGAAAGGCGAUAAGACCCUAAAAGCUCUAAAUGUAGUUGUUGGGGCAACAAGAACUUCAAUAAUUCUUUAAACCAGCUUUUAAUUUAGUUACUUUAGGGAUAACAGCGUAAUAUCUAUUAUCAAGACCGCAUUAAUAACAGAGAGUACGACCUCGAUGUUGAACUAAAGGGAAACUAGUGUACAUACUAGUGUCAAUCGUCUGUUCGCCGAUCCUCCUUUACGUGAUUUGAGUUCAAACCGGCGUGAGCCAGGUUGGUUUCUACCUUCUUAAUUUAUUUAAUGUUUUAGUACGAAAGGAAAUAACAUUGGUUGCGUUUUAAGUUAUUUUUAAUAUUUUCUUGUCGAGAAAAAGAACUUCUAAUUCUGCUUAUAUAGUUUAACUUAAAUAUUUUUCUUGUAAAAAAAAGUAA
rnacentral:rRNA from 1 species